rfam:Oryza sativa (indica cultivar-group) chromosome 8, whole genome shotgun sequence.
AAUAAGUGCAGUUUUGUACUAUUCACGUUCAACGAUUGAUCGUUCGUCUUAUUUGAAAAUUUUGUAUGAUUAGUAUUUUCAUUGCUAUUAAAUGAUAAAACAUGAAUAGUACUUUAUGUGUGACUAAAUAUUUUUAAAUUUUUCAAAUAAGAUGGACGGUCAAACGUUGGGCACGGAUAUCCACUGCUGCACUUAUU